GAUCAUGGCUCAGGAUGAACGCUAGCGGCAGGCUUAACACAUGCAAGUCGAGGGGCAGCGGGGAGUAGCAAUACUCUGCCGGCGACCGGCGAAAGGGUGCGUAACGCGUGAGCGACAUACCCGUGACUGGGGCAUAACCGAUGGAAACGUUGACUAAUUCCCCAUAACACAUCGUGCUGCAUGGCAUGAUGUUGAAAAUUUCGAUGGUCACGGAUGGGGAUGCGUCUGAUUAGCUUGUUGGCGGGGUAACGGCCCACCAAGGCGACGAUCAGUAGGGGUUCUGAGAGGAAGGUCCCCCACAUUGGAACUGAGACACGGUCCAAACUCCUACGGGAGGCAGCAGUGAGGAAUAUUGGUCAAUGGACGGAAGUCUGAACCAGCCAAGUAGCGUGCAGGACGACGGCCCUAUGGGUUGUAAACUGCUUUUAUGUGGGAAUAAAGUGAGGGACGUGUCCCUUUUUGUAGGUACCACAUGAAUAAGGACCGGCUAAUUCCGUG
rnacentral:rRNA from 1 species